rnacentral:rRNA from 1 species
CAUCUUUAGUUGCCAGCAGGUUAAGCUGGGCACUCUAGAGAAACUGCCCGUGAUAAGCGGGAGGAAGGUGUGGAUGACGUCAAGUCCUCAUGGCCCUUACGGGUUGGGCUACACACGUGCUACAAUGGCAGUGACAAUGGGUUAAUCCCAAAAAGCUAUCUCAGUUCGGAUUGGGGUCUGCAACUCGACCCCAUGAAGUCGGAAUCGCUAGUAAUCGCGUAACAGCAUGACGCGGUGAAUACGUUC